GAAGCUUUAUGGAGUUCUUUGUACUAAGGAACAGUAAUACUGUGCCUCCAAUUGUCAUUAUACCCAAGAAUCAAAUUAUUGGAAUUCUGGACACAUCAGCACAAAACCGAAGACUCCCUGCCAAUUUCGUAGCCUGCUUGGAAGAGAACAUCAUAGAGCAUCACUCAUUUAUACGACUGCCAGCCUGAGAUUGUAAAUUCAGAAAACAAGAAGGCCUCAGGUGCUGCACUUUAACACGUCUUUCUGCUCCUGAAUCGCCCCCCUCCUCACUACCCCCACGUACAAGGAGGUGCGAGCACUGAAUUCCCCAGGAAUUCUUGGAGCUGGACCAGCAGUGAGUUUGACCCAACGUGCAUGAGAAGCGUGUUGUUCAGCUGAUAAGGGAGCCGAGAACAUGCAUCAGCAAACACAGUUUGUUUAUCCCGUAAUAACUGGUUUUGAGUAGUACAGCAAAAAGUGGCUGGGUCUGCACGAGGCAGAUAAGAGCUCCUACCAAAAGGACGAGCAAAGGGCACAUGAGGCUUCCUGGAAACUUCAAAAGAGAAGCCUUCAGUGGGAAUGGAUGACUAAGGGAAUUGCAAAGGGUUUCUGGAGUCUUUUAUCUUUGCACUACCUCUUCAAAUCUGGCUCAACACUUCAGUAAUUUAUUGUUGCCGUCAUCUGAUGAAUGUUCACUGGGCUCAGGCUUUCUCGUACCGCACAGGUGUUCAGAGCCAAAAACCCCACUGCUGGAACCGCAGCCAGUGGUCGUCUUGUUAAGAAUCUCAGCUAACAACCCAAAGAGGGAACAUGUGGAGCUGAAAAGUGAGCUGCUAUCUGGUUCAUACAGAUGGCUUUUUUCAGGUGUGAAAGAAUCAGUAGUAGCAGCAUUUUCGAAGGGGCACACGAUUGUUCUCCAUUCUCCUCAAGCAAAGAGAGGCUUUUAGAGCUUCUAGGCAAAUGCAAAAGCUGCAUCUACACAACCGGGUUCCCCACACCUCCCACAAGAGCAUGGAGUAUUUCUCCAACGCUUAUUUUCAUUGGGGUCUUUCACACCUGCCCUAGGAUGAAUCAUACACAGUGAAAAUGCUGUAAGCAUGCGAAAUAAUGUAAAUUCCCAAAACUUUAUUAAGGCCUUUUUGACCAAAUUUGUAAUUAGCUCUCUUGGGAGCAUGCACGUAUGAUCUCCUGUGGACUCCUCAGGGCUAUUCUCUGUUAGCAUUACUCCAGCAUGGACAAAGGCACACAUACACAUACAAAACAAAAGAGUGGAUAUCAGCAUUGCUGGUGGAGGCCCAUCAUUGGCUCUGAUGGAGGCCCCUGCUGGUUACCCACUGCACUGAGUUUUUGGUCUAUGCUGCUCAUGUAAUUUAAUGUGUCAGCUUUUGGAGGCCAGGAUUGUGUCUUUCUGUGCUAUUUGCGCUCUGUAAAGUAAGCAAGUCUUUUUUGAAAAU
rnacentral:lncRNA from 7 species